rnacentral:rRNA from 1 species
UACGUAGGGUGCAAGCGUUAAUCGGAAUUACUGGGCGUAAAGCGUGCGCAGGCGGUUGUGCAAGACCGAUGUGAAAUCCCCGGGCUUAACCUGGGAAUGGCAUUGGUGACUGCACGGCUAGAGUGUGUCAGAGGGGGGUAGAAUUCCACGUGUAGCAGUGAAAUGCGUAGAGAUGUGGAGGAACACCGAUGGCGAAGGCAGCCCCCUGGGUUAACACUGACGCUCAGGCACGAAAGCGUGGGGAGCAAACAGG